UCAGGUUCCACUGUGGGAGCAUUAUUGAUGUUUGUGUGUGUCAGGUUCCACUGUAGGAGCAUUAUUGAUGUUUGUGGGAGCAUUAUUGAUGUUUGUGUGUGUCAGGUUCCACUGUGGGAGCAUUAUUGAUGUUUGUGUGUGUCAGGUUCCACUGUAGGAGCAUUAUUGAUGUUUGUGUGUGUCAGGUUCCACUGUGGGAGCAUUAUUGAUGUUUGUGUGUGUCAGGUUCCACUGUGGGAGCAUUAUUGAUGUUUGUGGGAGCAUUAUUGAUGUUUGUGUGUGUCAGGUUCCACUGUGGGAGCAUUAUUGAUGUUUGUGUGUGUCAGGUUCCACUGUAGGAGCAUUAUUGAUGUUUGUGUGUGUCAGGUUCCACUGUGGGAGCAUUAUUGAUGUUUGUGUGUGUCAGGUUCCACUGUGGGAGCAUUAUUGAUGUUUGUGUGUGCCAGGUUCCACUGUGGGAGCAUUAUUGAUGUUUGUGUGUGUCAGGUUCCACUGUGGGAGCAUUAUUGAUGUUUGUGUGUGUCAGGUUCCACUGUAGGAGCAUUAUUGAUGUUUGUGGGAGCAUUAUUGAUGUUUGUGUGUGUCAGGUUCCACUGUGGGAGCAUUAUUGAUGUUUGUGUGUGUCAGGUUUCACUGUAGGAGCAUUAUUGAUGUUUGUGUGUGUCAGGUUCCACUGUGGGAGCAUUAUUGAUGUUUGUGUGUGUCAGGUUCCACUGUGGGAGCAUUAUUGAUGUUUGUGGGAGCAUUAUUGAUGUUUGUGUGUGUCAGGUUCCACUGUGGGAGCAUUAUUGAUGUUUGUGUGUGUCAGGUUCCACUGUAGGAGCAUUAUUGAUGUUUGUGUGUGUCAGGUUCCACUGUGGGAGCAAUAUUGAUGUUUGUGUGUGUCAGGUUCCACUGUGGGAGCAUUAUUGAUGUUUGUGGGAGCAUUAUUGAUGUUUGUGUGUGUCAGGUUCCACUGUGGGAGCAUUAUUGAUGUUUGUGUGUGUCAGGUUCCACUGUAGGAGCAUUAUUGAUGUUUGUGUGUGUCAGGUUCCACUGUGGGAGCAUUAUUGAUGUUUGUGUGUGUCAGGUUCCACUGUGGGAGCAUUAUUGAUGUUUGUGGGAGCAUUAUUGAUGUUUGUGUGUGUCAGGUUCCACUGUGGGAGCAUUAUUGAUGUUUGUGUGUGUCAGGUUCCACUGUAGGAGCAUUAUUGAUGUUUGUGUGUGUCAGGUUCCACUGUGGGAGCAUUAUUGAUGUUUGUGUGUGUCAGGUUCCACUGUGGGAGCAUUAUUGAUG